rnacentral:lncRNA from 1 species
AAGAAGAAAAAUUAAAAAGAGAAUAAGGAGAAGAAGGAGAUGUGAGAGACGUGAUGGUGGCAUGGUGGUGGAGGAAGAGAAAGAGAAUAGGCAAAGCAUAGAAGGAAAAGUGAGAGAAGGAGGAGGAAUAAGAGAAGCAAGAGGAGGAAAAGAAGGAGAUGACAGUGGUGACAAAUGAAAACAACAGAGACAUUAACAACGUUGACAGUGAAGGAAUAAGAGGAAUGUGGGAGGUAGAAGAAAAUUGGAAAGUUAAAAGGAAGAAGAAGAAGGAGGGAGGAGGAAGAAUGUGGACUAUAUCUUAAUUCUAAUAGUGAAUUUUAUUCAUGAAUUUCCUAAUGUGUUUAUAAAAUAUACUGAUGAAAAUUUUACUAAUAGUUUUUUUAUCAUUGAUAAUUUUAAUUUACCAACAAAUUUUAAGUAUUAUCGAAAAAUUUUAG